UACGUAGGGGGCGAGCGUUGUCCGGAAUCAUUGGGCGUAAAGCGCGCGUAGGCGGCUAGAUCAGUCUGCUGUAAAAGUCAAAGGCUCAACCUUUGAAAGCCGGUGGAUACUGUCUAGCUAGAGUCCGGAAGAGGCGAGUGGAAUUCCUGGUGUAGCGGUGGAAUGCGCAGAUAUCAGGAGGAACACCAACGGCGAAGGCAGCUCGCUGGGACGGUACUGACGCUAAGGCGCGAAAGCGUGGGGAGCGAACAGG
rnacentral:rRNA from 1 species